rnacentral:snRNA from 1 species
AGCUUUGCGCAGUGGCAGUAUCGUAGCCAAUGAGGUUUAUCCGAGGCGCGAUUAUUGCUAAUUGAAAAAUAAAUGAUACGGUAAAAACAAUGUCUUGCCUUAUACAGCGUUAGCUCACCUGAG